rnacentral:lncRNA from 1 species
CAUUUAAAAACAACUUCUACAUGCAAUGACCAAAAAGCAGCUUUUAAUUAAUUUGCAGGAUCACCGAGGGCUAGGGACUCCUCUAAAAGCAAAUUCAUUAAUUCAUGCGAAGGCCUUACACUUCUACUUUUGUCUUCUUCAACGUGUGUGCAUGCACAUGCAUUGGUAUUGCAUGGUGAUAAUGAAUUAUUUUUAUGGUUUCCGCUUCCCAUCAAAUAAUUCAUCAAUAUAAGUCUCUAUAUCUUCAGGCUGGUAUUUAAUGUACUUUUCUGUUUGCCUUCCGGGAUCCAGAUAUUGUGAGAAUCUUCCCAUGAACGAUCUGUAAGCUGGAAUCACCACCGACGAUAUUGAAACCCUAAGCUCCGAUUGAAGCUGGUCAUCACUUACAACCCAUGUGCUUUGAGUCCUGUGUAUUUCAUCAAACAUCGAAUUGAAGCUCUUGAACUUCUCUUUCAACACCGGCUUCACAACUUUCCCAUUCGCCAUCAACCCAUCGAGCCCUAAACAACCCAAGAGCCUCCCCCACGUCUCUCUCUGAUAAGUCUUGUGGUAGUUCCUAAGAUCAGACGACUUCUUGCGGCACCAUGUGUCCCCCAUCGCUUCGUGGAUCUCCACCGACCCUUUGAUCUUCUGCAAGAUGUAUCGGCCAUUGUUCAUCAUGAAAAUGCUACUCAAUGAUACAUCCUUAUACAUCUUCGAUUUUGCAUCUAAAUUUUGAUCCAACAAGUCCAUCACGCUCACCAAUUGCUGAGCGAAAGGCGAAGGCUGACUCGCAUUAUUGUUGUCGUUAUUGUUAUUAUCACAACUCUGAUCCUCACCUUCGGUUUCCUGCCUGCUUGAUGAUGAUGAAUCAGUUCUUUCAAUUUUCCAAUGCUCUCUGAAAACUUGUUCCAACGUGUUCUUAUACUCGCAAGCAUAUUUCAAAUAAUUCAUCGUGUAGCGAGUCAAAGGAUGGACAGCCCCACCUGGCACUGUAGUCUUGGCCAUAUCAGAUUUGAUCGAAUUCUCAAGAUCACAAAACAUGAAAAUUGCUGCCUCGCCAAGUCGAAUCUUAGCAACCAUCAUUUCAUUCUGGAGCUCGUUAGCACAUUGAUCAGGAACCAAAGCGUUCAAAGCCGGAAUGUUGUCACGUAAGCAUUCAUACAUAUCAAGAACCUUAAACAACUUUUCAGCCGAGCGUUUUGUCAUCGCCAGAGCUUCCGCAAAAUUCAAUAACUGAAUCAUCACCCCACGAAUGAGAUUGCUAAAAAGGCUCGAUGUGAUCAUGGGUUGAUCCGCGAACACCACCUCGGCAAGCUUCUGUUCGCCGGCGAAGUACACAUUGGCGCAUUGGCUGAAGGUGGUGAUCCAGGAGGCAAUCUCACGUUCCAAUAUGUCCCAGUGCAUCUUCUGCACAUCAUCUAGGCUGAUCUUUUCGAAACCAAGAUUGUUCAAGCUCUCAUCGAAGGCAUUCCUUCUCGCGAUUAUAUAAAUCUCGACGCAUUCGGAUUCAUAGCCUCCAGAUAUCAUUACCUUUGCCAUUUUAUUCAACCAAGAUGAGACUUCCAGAGAGACUCUGGGAGUGUUGACGAUCGGAUCCUCAGCGGAUUGGUCGGAUUCUGCAACUGGUUUCGGAUCAGUUUCUUGAUUGUUUUCUUUUGUUGUGUCCUUCUUGUGGUCGAGAUUAAAUAUAUCUUGAUCAAGAAUAAAUCUGAAUUCAUCCUCCAAGAAAGACAUGGCACGCUGUUGAACGCCGCCAAUGCGGUUGUUCAAAACACCAUAUGUUUGAUCCGAAGUAUUUUCUGGUAACUUCAUUUCACUCAUCUUUCUUGCCAGCCUUGUAACUCGAUCCACUGAAUCUAAAAACAAUAAUGUAUCUUCUUCCGCCAGGACGGGAGUGCUCAUUUUUGCUUUCCCGUCAACCCCCAGGUCGUGCUUUGGAAUCUUCUCUUCGAAAAGAUCUAAGAAUCUCCAAACAACCUCAGGGAUCUCCAACGGGGAUGCAGUUUGAUGAUCAUCAUUAUUUGUCAAAGUUGACAAGAACUUGUCAAUUUCAUCAGAAGCAGUUUCAAUGGUGUAAUGAAUCUCAAUAGGAGGAGUUUCCUCGACCUUUUCUUGAUCUAUAUGUUCUUGAAUAUCUUCUUCGAUCUCAUUUUCUUUUGCCUCUUCAGCCUUUUGUGUCUGUAUAGCAGCCUUCGGAGUACUCUCCGUCACCGGUGCCUCGGAAGCGUCAGCAUUGUUUGAUUUUUCAGGGUUCUUUUUUUCUUCCUCCAUUGUUGUAAAUAUUAUUUUUGUUUUUAGGAAGGAAUAAAGAAGAAUGUUACAGAUCAGGGUGUGAAUUAUGAUGAAGCUAAGGAAUGAGAGAUGGAGAAAUUAAUUAGAUGCGUCUAGGGAGGAGAAUUAUCCGUGUAAUUAAUUUUUAUUUAAUCGUUUAUUUGAUUUGAAUUAAUUCAUGUUUUUUCUUAUUUUUCUUUUCAUUUUUAAUGUUAAUUUCCGUGUAAAUUUCGUGUUAAUAUUUUAGAGGAUUGAAAUGGUCGUUGGGAGAAAUGGUGAGAGAGGAGAGAAGUGGACAGAAAUUAGCGUCAAGUUUUUGGUUACCAGAGAGUUUGUUAUGUGUAUUUGUUUGGAACUAUUGACCGUUGACCAUUUUCCAUUAUGACUAGCAUAUUUUACUUAUGCUUAGCACGAUCGAUUUUCUACUCUAUAAAUUCGGAUAUAUAUAUAUAUAUAUAGCCAUUAGUUUUCAAUCUAAGAUUCUGCUGGACCAACUUAUUUCUUUUUUGUUAACAAUGAUUUAAUUUAUAAGAUUCAACUGUGAGAUUUAUAGCAUUAAUUUUUGUAUUAUAUUAUUCUUAGAAAAAUAGCAUAAAAUUGCUAUUUUAAGGUCAAUUUUGAGCCAGAUGCACGUUGACAAAGUAUGCUUGUAUGAAUAAUUCGAAAUUUCUUCCAUGAGCUCUUUAUAACGAAUCAAAAAUAGCUCAAUUUGUACUUAGGUGAAUGAAAAAUUGGAUCUUAAAAAGCACCCAUUGCUUUAGAAAAAAAUGAAUACAUUAAAGGUCAUCUUGCCAUUUUCUUUUUAUUGUGCUAGAACUUGACUAAAAUUAAAUAUGUAACGUCAUCAAUAUUGAUAUUGAUCAUAACAACAAAAAACUAAAGAGUUGUUAGGGGAUGAAUAUGGCUAUAUUUCCCAAAAAAAAAAAUUCAGCUUAGAAGGUUGUUACAAGUGAAUUAAAGUUACAAAUCUUAUCUCAAAUAACAAAUUUGAAUUGUUAAAUACAAGCGUUAGUCCUGAAGUUUUCUAGACCAAAAUGCCUUCCACAAUACUUACAAAUUGGCGUUCAAUUUUAUUUGCUAGAUACACUAAAUACAAUUGAUUUAUUGCUCUUCUCUCCUAACUAAACUCUCUAGCUUUAGGUUUCAGUGUGAUAGUUUGCAAACACUAGUUUGAAGUUCAUCAAAUAGUAAGGUUAUGCUAUUAAAACUAUUCAAUUAUGUUGUAUCUUGGGAGAUAAACGCCAAUACAACCUAAGCACUGUAGAAAAGGUGACAAAUAUGUUUUAAAGAAACUGUACGUAAUAUCCAAAGGCCUCAAUUUGUGUUCUAUUCUUUUGUCUUAUGGUUUAUUUGUUAUUAUAUAUUGUAGUAAUUUUACAAUAGAUUAUUGCUAUAUAUUUCAAUUAUGUUAUUAUAAGCUUGUGAUGAGUGUGCUCAAGUACCAUUAGAAGGUUUUAUCACAAAUGUUAUAUAAUAACUAAGGAGUCUAGGUUUUAAGUGGGACUGAUUAUGAUCUCUCUAGUUUUUCUUGAAAACUUAGCUAAUGUAUUUUUGUAUAUAACACGGGUUGUCUUAUAUCACUUACUAAUAGUGAUUUUAUAACAUUAUCACAUUGCAGUUGAUGGCUUGAUGCUUAAAUUCAUAUGGUUGUUAAUUGUUAAUUUAGUCAAGACUAACUAAUGAGUUCAAAAUUAUGUCAUUAAUGCUUGAAAGGAUGUCUUUUAUGAGCAAUAAUAUAAAAUCAUAUUAGACUAAAGCCCCGUUUGGAAUUAAGGUUAAAAUGCUUUAAGUAUCUUAUUUAAUAAGUUUUGAGAAAAAUAGUUUAGUAAAUUUUUUUAAAAGUUGUUUAUCUCAUAAUUUUUUUUUUGUUUUGACAAUAACUUUAAGGGUUCCUCUAUGAUGCUGUAAUUUGUUUAUAGUAUCAAUAGUAUUUUAAUUGUGUACCAUUGGAUUUAAUCAAUGGUACACAAUAUUUGUACUAAAGAAAAAAAUAAAUAAUUUAAAAAUAAUGGUAAACAGUUUGUUAACGGUUUAAGGGGUAGAGAAUUUUUGUAAAAUAAUUGUGACCACCCUUAGAGUUUGAAGCAAUUUCACUUAAAUAGCAUAUUUUAUUUAAAAUUACUUUUCAACCCCCUUGAAAUUUUUAAUGUGAUAAUCUUUUUUAAAUAGAUCUUCCAAAAUCAAUUACCAUUAAGUGUAAAAUAUAAUAUCAAGUACGUUAUUUAGCACAAAUCAAAUAAAUUAGCUGCAAUUGUAAAAUUUAUAUAUGAUAUAACACUAAUAAAUAACACAACUAACUAUAUAUACUUCAGUAAAUGUCAUAGUUACAUCAAUAAACUUAUUGGUGAGAUUGUUUGUAACCUAAAAAAUACUUGAUCACACAUAUUUUAAUAAAAUUUAAUAUUGUAUAUUAAAAUACUCAUUAUUUUAUAUAAUAUUAAGGACUAUUAUCUAAUUGAUCAUGAAAUAUAUAUUAUUUUUAACAUUCAUUUAACAUACCUAUUCUUUAAACUCUAUAAUAUUGUACGAGUUUUUACAACAUUGAUAAUAAGAUUGUUGUGAACUCUUGGAUUUUAGUUUUUUCAUCUCUACCAUUCAUUUGAUAUAGUGAAUAAAAAAUUAACUAUUUAAAUCAUAAUAGGUAAUCUUCAAGUUGCAAGUAAUCCUACAUUCAAUAAGGGAAUCAUUGGAUUUAAUAUUAGAAUCUUCACUCUUAAUUUAAUUUCAAUGGAUAAGUAAUUAUGUAACAAGUAAUCUAUAAGUUGUGAUAUUUCUUCAUACUUUAAAUUAUUUUUUAUCUAAUCAAUGGAUAAAUAUUUUAAAUCACCAAAAAAAUGAAAGAAAUACAAAUAAUUUGGAAUUAAUUAUUAUGUAUUAAUUCUCUUACUUUACCAUUUUACAUUGUUUUUUAGUUUUACAUUUAGUAUUAGAAAUAUAUUUAAUAGCAUUAAAAUAAAUGUAAUUAACAAGUAAUUUUAUUUCAAUAAUACUUUAUAUAAAGAUAUUAUAUAAAGUCUUAUACAAAUUUGUAUUGUAUGAAUUUAAUUACAAACCAUUAAUACUUAAACAAUAAUGAUAAUAGAAGGCAUUGCAAUAAACUAUUUUAUAUAUGUUUUAUCAAUAAUAUUAUAUAUGAGUCACAACAAAUAAGAAAUAUUUUAUUCACCGAUUAUUAUUGAAAAAUAUAUGUGUCUAUAUCACUAUAGAGUGAGAAAUAUUUUGAUUUAAAUUUUUAACAAAAAAUUAAACUAUUAAUUUCAUGCAAUUCAAUAGUGGAGGAUAUGACAUUAUGAAAUGUUGCUUUGACUUUCAAUAUCAACCAUUAGAUUAUGAGAUAUUAAUGGCUCAAAUAUUGUGUCAAAAUUUGAAGUUAAAGUAUCUCAAACCAUGUCUUUAUAAUGGAAAUAUAAAUAUAUACAAUGAAUUUUUUUCUCAUUUUGUCCAUUAAAUAUUAUUUGAUAUAAUAUUUUAUUUAUUGUCAUUAUUAAUUAUCAUAAUAAAAGUAAUGACUCUUCGUAACAUAAAAAAUUUAUAAUUACCAUCAAAGAAUAACAAUAAAAUAAUCUUUCAUGAUCCAUAAACUAAAGUUAAUUAGGAAUAUGUGUUACAUUUAACUUUUAUGAAAUUAACAAAGUGACAUUUGAAAAUAAAAUAAAAACAAGCUUGUGAAAGUUAAAUUUUAUAAGGCUCGGAUAAUUUCCUGUCAUGUAAAUAAAAAUAUAAAAAUAUAAAAGAUUUUCUUUCAUAUUUUUUUCCACGUAAAUAUUAUUGGAGGCAAUAUUUUAUUUAUUGUCACUAUCAAUUAUCAUAAUAAAAGUAAUAACUUUUAAUAACAUAAAAAUUUUAUAAUUACAAUCAAAGGAUAUCAAUAAAAUAAUCUUUCAUGAUUUAUAAACUAAAACUCAUUAAGAAUAUGUAUUAGAUUUAACUUUUAUGAAAUUAACAAAGUGAUAUUUGAAAAUAAAAUGAAAAUAUAUAGGCUUGUAAAACUUAAAAUUCCUACCACAUAAGAAUAUUAAUUGUAAGAUAAACAAAAAGUUUAGAGAAUAAGUAUGUUCAAUGAGUGUUAAAAAUAAUAUAUAUUUCAUGAUCGAUUGUACAAUGGUCCUUAAUAUUAUAUAAAAUAAUGAGUAUUUUAAUAUACGAUAGUAAAUUUUAUUAAAACAUGUGUAAUCAAGUAUUUUUUAGGUUACAAGCAAUCACUACAAGAAAAUUGGCAAUAGAUGACGAGAAAAAACUAUCAUAAAGGGAGGUGGAUGACAGUGAAAUUACCCAUCAUCGUACAUGUCACUCUUUUAUGAUAGAAAAAAAGUAUGUCAUUAACUUAUCAUAGCGUUUAAAUGUCAUAUGUCAGUCAUGGAAAAAAAUGAAUAAAUUAUUUAAUUUUUUAGAAGGAAAUGUGAUUUUUGUUUUUGAAAUUUUGGUGGGAAAAUUGAUUUUCGCGCGUGAAUUAUCGUUUGGAUAAAUUUAGCAAGUAAAAUACUAAGUUUGUGACGGAAUUUGUAAUUAAUAUUUUCUGUCAUUAAUUUUUAUUAUGACUUAUUUUAUGAUUAAUAUUUUCUAUCACAAAUUAUUUUUUUAUGACUUACUCCAUGAUUAAUAUUUUCUAUCAUAGAUUCUAAAAUUAUAUUGAAUGAAAUCAUGAAUUAUUUCAUUUAAAUUUAUGCAUUCCUAUAUAUGAAAUUCAAGCAUAAAUUCAUAUGAACCAAAAAUUAAAUUAUACAUUCUAUUAAGUCCAAAAUCACUUUAUAUUAAUAAUGCCAUCCAAAAACAGUUAUAUCAAACAAUAUCAAUUCACUAGACAAAAUCCAGCAACUAAGAACAAAUGUAUCAAUUUUACAAGCUAAGAAGGCAUAAGUGAUUGUAGUGCUGAACUUAAACCAUAAUUUCAGUAAAUUUCCAGUACAUGAACUGCCAUUUUCAACAAAUACCCCGCUAAACUCUCAAGUCCAAUAGCUUCUUUCAACUUGCAUAUGCAACAUCAAAUGAAUAUAGCUAGCAUUAUUGUUAUAAAGAAUUAACUACUACAAUAAAACCAUUAGGUUUUAGAUACAACAGAAUCAUUACAAAUUUAAACUCAAUUUGUAUGUGCAACACCAAUGAGUAUAGCCAACAUAUCAUUAUAAAGAUUUAUCUAUUAAACUUAAACUGUAGGUUUCAGAUGCAACUUAACUUAAUUCCUUGCUGAAAUAAAAUAUGGAACCACAAUGGUACCCAUAAAAAUAAAAUUAUUUUCCUCCAAGUAUGAAAAUAAAGAGCAAACUUUGGUUUGAAUAGAAAGUAUACAAAUUUACUGCCAAAUGCACAAUACAGACCACUUGUUCACAUGAUAUAUCAAUCAAUCAAAAUAAUAAUUCAAUUCCAUUUCUUCUCUUACAAUUACAAGAACCGAUUAAAUUAACUAAGUGGCAUGUGUUGUUCUGUUCAACACCAUGGCUUUUGUAUUUUGUUUUUUUUUGUUUUUAACUUUAUUGUUUUUAACUUUAUUGUUAUUUUAAAUUUUUGCAUUAAAAUUAACCUCAUUAUUCAAAUUCAUCAACAACAACCAUGAAUAGAUUGAUAUAGACCUACCAAGUUUCUCUAUUAUUACCAAUCUCAUCGCUAAAUAAUGUUUUUGUUAUCAGGAUAACAACUUUGCCUGUAGUUGUUUGUUGUUCAAAUAAAAGAUUAAGCGUAGUUCAAGAAACCUAGGUAGCUAACUAGGUCGUUGUUAUUACCACUUUGUCUAUAGUUUUUAACCAAUUAUAAUAUAUAAGUAAUAAAAAUGUUUAUGUACAGUUUUAGAUUCAUACUAACCAUUUUUUGCUGCGUUAAUGAUUAGAACACUUGAUUACAGUUUGAAAUUUCCAGACCUGGGAUUGUAUGGCAUGAACAAGAUUUGUCCUUUACAGGCUUUUUUAAAGCGGUUGCACACACCUUCUGCUCUACUGGGACAGGAAAUGUCUGGUAUUUGACCAGGAUGGGGUGACACAACCUGGACAUAUGAAUCCAAAUGGUCUUGUUCCUUUUUUAUUUGGGAUAAUCGAGUCAUAUAGCAACCUGAAACAGUGGAUGCAAAAUACCAAAACUUGUCAUUAGACAAGUAUUGCAACAUUAUAUAAAUUAAUUAAAGUGGAAAGAAAAACAAAAAUCUCUUACGCAAUAUAUACUUCAAUAGCAUUAACUCAUAUCACUUGCAUCGUCAUCAUCGCAUCACAUUUCAUUUUCCCAACAUGGGCUACAAUACCUUUUAGCUGAAAUACAUCAUCAUCAAUCCUAUAUGGGAUCCAACCGGAUGGAGGCAAGUACAUGUCACAUAAUCUGACUAGUAGUGUCGUUAAGGUGCACCAAAUUUAAAACCUUACCACUAAUAUAAAUAAUUAGUACAGAGCGAGUAAGGAUCGAUCCCACAAAGACUAUGUAGUUAUAUUUAUUAUCAACUCUAAAGCAAGAUUUAAAAUAAAAUAAUAGUAGUAAUAAUAAUAGUAAUAUUAAUAUAAAUUAAUCUAACUAAAGAAAAUGUCAAUUAUAAAUAAAAAGGGGGUUUAUGAAUUUUUAACUAAAUAGUAAGAAGUAAAGAAAUUAAAACUACGAACAAGAAUUUAAUAAAAACUCUAAUUAAAGGAAAAAGAAAUAAUGAUGAUGAAAACUUUGGUUAAAGGAUCAUUCGCCACCACCAAACAUGCACAUAAUAUAUUAAUUCUAUCAUCAAUUUAUAUUGAAACUAUCACCGUAGACAACAAUAAGCUCUGUUAGUCUCAAUCUUUCCUUAGUGUGUCGUUAGGCAAAACAAGCUCUUCACCUAAUCUCUAACCAUUAAAUAAUUUAAAACAAGCUCUUUAAAUUUAAGAUAAUGGAAGCAUUAAACAAAGAAAGAUAUUAGGUUGAUCUAGGCAAUAAACACACAAGCUCGGAUUAUUUAACCUAGGUUAUGUUCUCCAAUUGAAAUCACUGAUUCCAACCUGCUACUAAUGAUUAAAAUAUCAAGACAAUUACGGAUCAAGAAUUUUAAUCUAGCAAUAGAAUUUAUUCAAGUCCUAUCUAAUUGGCCACUCAAAUAAAACAAGAAUAAACCAUGAAUAUUAAUUAUAAAAGAACAUAAACAAUCUCAAUUAAAUAAAUUGAAUGAUAGAAUUUAAAUUUAAUUGCAUAGCAUGUUUAGGGUUUUGAAUUCACCCUCAACCAAAUAAAAAUUUAGCCUAACAUAAUUGAAUUGGGAAUAAGAGAAUUGACAAAACCAAUCAUGGAGAUUAAUUCAAGCGGCUGCCUUUUUCUUCAAUUGAAUUCCGGCUGCUGAUUUUUUUCUUCUUCUUACCGAAUUGGAUCAGCCCCUGCUCUCUCUCCUCUCUUGUUGCCCCAAUUCUCUUUUUUUGCUCUCUGGCAGCUCUCCUUUUAUAAUGCUCUAAAUCCUCUCAUGAAAAGGAUUAAAAACAAAAGUAAAGCCGCCACUUUUCUUUUCCGUCCAGCGUCUGUUGGCUUCUUUGGCGGCUACCCCCUUUCUAAAACCAAAGUUUGGCUUUUAUAUUUAGUCUUCAAAUGGGCCCCACCGACUUUUCCAACUCUUAAGCCAAAGGCCAAGCCUUUUAAUUUGCUUUGGCUUCCCUCACGUGCACUCUUUAAUUUGGCUAAUAUUUCUCAUGUCCUUUAGCUAAUAAUUCAGCCAAUCAAUUUAAUUGUUUCUUCUUCUCCUUUCGACUUUAUCACCACGGCAGCGAGCAUCAACAAUCUUCAACUCUCUCUAGCUUUGAUCCCUUUAAGCACAAAUUAUUCCCAAAAUGCACCUAAAAUAACAAAAUAUAAAAAUUAACAUAAAAUUAACAUAAUAAAAUAUAAUUUACUAAAUUAAAAAUUAACUAAAAUAACUAGAAUAUUUAAGACCAAAACAAGAAAAAGAUAGAGAAAUUAAUAGCAAAAUAUAUGGAAAAUAUGCACUUAUCAUUGACAAAGAGUUGCAGCAUUGGAUUAUUGUUUUUGUGCAUUGCCGCUGCGUGCCUAGUGUUUCUCGGCACAUGCUGCACUGUACCUUUUUUUCCUUUUGUUUCUGUUCAGAUUUGCAGCCCUUGUUCUUGGGCUAUCAGGUGAAACUUGCUAUAGACCAUUAGCUAAUUGCACCUUCUCUUGAAAUAAUGACUUUCUCGAACAUCCUAGAUAACUUAGUGAAUUUUGUACAUCCUGGACAUACAUGUUUCUCAGUCUCUUCCAAUAGUUUUCUAAAUGUCUUAGGAUUUCCCUCACAAUCAUUAUAAGCAUCAUUGAUCAUAUCUAUUGUAUUAUCAUAAUUGAAGUCCAUUGAGUGAAAUGGAAUAUAUACAUUAGAAGAUGGCGUGGCACGACCAUCUUCCCCAUGCCACUUUCAAAUUUUAUAAGACUUUACAAAACUGUGUCAAUAAAGAUGUUCAGUUACAAUCAUGGGUGUGCGAAAUGCCAAAUUCCUACAUUUAUAACACAGACAUCUAAUGAUGCUAGCAUCUUCGACAUUUUAAAUAUCAAAAUUCACAAAUUCGAUGACCCUUUUUUCAUACUCAGGUGACAUUUUGCUAUAAUCAAUCCAAGACUUAUCCAGUUUAGUUUCAACGAGUUUUGAUCCUAGCACAUAAAAAAAGGCAAACAUGAAACAAUAAUAUUGGCUUUUCAAAUUAGUUAUUUCAUAAAAAAAUAACAAAAUAACAUUGACUUACACAUAUGUAGAACCAAAAGUAAGAAAAGAUCAAAACAUGUUGGCCUCACAUAUUAACGAAUAUUUGCAUAUUAAAAAAGCAAUCGACAGUACAAUACAAAAACAAAUGGAACAUUCAUACAAGCCAAACUCAAAUAUCCAAAACAAUAGACAAAAAUAAUCAAUAAAGAAAGUUCGGUUAAUUUAUUAAGCAUGUCAAAAUGUAUUUAAUUUACUCAGUUUAUUGUCUGCAAAUGCAUAUUAAAGAAUUAAAAUACCUUGGUUUUGAUCGCGUGCACUGUGAAAAGCUUAAAGGGCCCUCCAACUUAGUAAUAAAGUGUGAAUUUGAAAGGAACAGCAGCAAAUAUAUCCAAGACUGAAACAAAAAAUCCAAAAAAGCAUAUUAACAAUUGAUAAUGACACAUUGCUUUGACUUAAAUAAUUUAUAUAAACGUAUUUGGGAACAUGUGUGACAAAUUUGAUUGCCCCAUAUGCAUAUGCUAUUAUUACUUUAUUAUAACAUAAUGGAAAACAUAGUUGCCCCACAUCUUUUUUUUUGUAAAAAAAAAAAUUACCUUUCCCUAAGGAACACGUUCAUAAGAUACAAAUCAAGAUAACAUUUAUGAAUAUGUAACUUUACGUCAUUGAAAUACAAUAUGAAACAAGAAAAAAUAGAUAACGUUACAAACAAGAAAAUGAAUUAAAAGAAAAAGUUGAUUUGCGAGGUAAUGGAAUGUAAUUAUAACCAUCAAAAGCAAAACCGAACAACCCAUUUCAAUCUCUUUCUCUCUCUCAUAGCUAUAACAGUAACAACCUUGUCAAAUUAAAAGGAAAAAAAAAAAAAAACAAGUCCAGAUUACUACUAUUAUUUUGUAUUUUCCUUUUCUAGGUUUGCAAGUUUCCACAUUUAUGCAUAAGGAAGAAUGGGUGGCAACCACCUUGCCCCCUGCCUCCUCGCCAGCAAAAUGACAAACACAGAUACAGAGCAACCUCAUCAGCAGCCUUAUACAGUCUCAACUUUCUCUGCCCAUCUCCAACUGCAUUAACUUUACAUUGAAAAUAAAAAAAAAAAAAAAAAACCUUCACUCUCUCUAUCUCUAUCAUCUAAUGCAACUUCUUAACUAAACCCAUCAUCUCAUUUUGUCAUUCACUCAGUCACUUGCUCGUAAACUCUCCAAAAUACAAAAUUACACUCAAUCACUUAGGGCCUUAAACACAAUUAGGUGAAGAAGAAGAAUAAAACCUGGAAUUGAAGGUUUAGGGUUGCAAUCCUCUAGUGUGUGACGAUGUCAGGGUGUUGACAGUUCAUGUCACAUCACACCAUCACCAAAUGGUCAUGGUGGCUAGUUCAAAUUCAAUUAAUGGGUCUGUAAUUUGGGUGUUACCGUUUGCUCAGAGCUAGUAGUGGCCGAUUGUGUACAGAAAACUUAAAUGUAGCAAACAAUUAGCCAGCUAGGGUUUGGGUGGUGGUAGUGAGGUUAUCAAUUGACAGUGUGACGAUGAGUUUGGCUAGGCUUUAAGCGUUGAUUGUGAGAGUGACAGUGAUGAUAAUGUGCUAAGGGUUUGACUGCUCUUUGUCCGAGUGAGAGUGAAGAUGACUAUGGUUACUGUAGGCUGAUUGAUUGAGGGUGUAAUGGUGAAUGUGGCUAGGGUUUCAAAGCUGAUUGUGGAGUGAGAGUGACGAUAACUGGGCCUUGGGUUUCAAUGGCCUUUGCGCGCAAGAGUGAGAGUCGUGAUGACUUCAUUGUGUAGUCUUUAGGACUUAGGUUUUUUUUUUUUUUUUUUGGUUCAAAUUUUGGUUAAACGCAUCGUUUUGUUUCUUAUUUGUUUUUUCACAAAUCAUUUCACAAGUUAAACGUUGCGUUUAACUUUUUUCAAAAAAUUAAAAUAAUACUUUUAAAUUUAGCAAACACUGUCAACAUAAGAUUUCUAUCAUAAUGUAUGUGACUGAGUAAAAUUCUAUCAUACACAUAUCAUAAAUUAUUGAUAUACAAAGAUUCUAUCACUAGUACAUCAUUAAUCGUUUGAUAGACCACAAUUCUAUCACGAAUCUAUCAUAUUUAUAUUAUGAAAUCAUUUCUGUCAUAAAGUGGUUAUCAUUUAUUGUCAGUUUUCUUGUAGUGAAUCUCACCAAUGAGUUUAUUGAUGUAACUAUGACAUUUAGUGAAGUAUAUAUAUUUAGUUGUGUUAUUUAUUAGUGUUGUAUCAUAUAUAAAUUUUAUAAUUGCAACUUAUUUAUUUGAUUUGUGUUAAAUAACCUACUUGAUAUUAUAUUUUAUACUUAAUGAUAAUAGAUUUUGGAAGAUUUAUUUAAAAAAGAUUAUCACAUUACAAAUUUAAAGUAGGGUUGAAAAGUAAUUUCAAAUAAAAUAUGCUAUUUAAGUGGAAUUGUUUCAAACCCUAAGGGUGGUCACAAUUAUUUUACAAAAUUUUGCACCCCUUAAAUGGUUAACAAACUGUUUACCAUUAUUUUUAAACUAUUUUUUCUUUAAUACAAAUAUUGUAUAUUGUUGAUUAAAUCCAAUGGUACACAAUUAAAACAUUAUUGAUGCUAUAAAAAAAUUAUAGCAUCAUAGAGGAACCUUAAAUUUAAAAGUAGGCAGGGAAUUAUAUUUUAAUACAAUUUAUUAGAAAUAUCAUCACUAUUGUAUGUAGAUAGAUAUAAAAAUUUAUAUGUCAACAAUGUUGCUGUGUUAUGAACUGUUACUUUUUGGGUUUUUAACAUUAUAUUUUAAAUUUGACAUCUUACAUUAUUUCUGCUUAAACAACCAUGUGAUUUCAUAGACAACUUUUUAUGUAAAGAUUUGAAUAAAUUUCUUUAGUUGAAUUGGUCAAUUCCUCCUUAGUUUAUUUUUUGGAGUUCAUUUUUAUGUGAUUUUCGUAUUGGGCUUUAAUUAAUUGUGAAUUUAUGCUAAGCUUGUAUAUAUGAGUUUAUUUUCUAUGUUUCUUCUUUUUGCUUUUGUUGAUGCAAAUUUUUGCUCAAUGUACAGUGAUUGAUUUGUAUUUCGGACAUCUUUCUAAAUUAAAUUUUGUGGUUUAUUUUCCCCUUAAGGCGAAUGUCUCAAAUCACAUGUCUUCUUAUGAUUAAUUGUUUUGCUCAUUUGUUAAAGGGGGCUGCCAUGCCUGUAAUAAUCCCCUGACAUCAAUUUAUUUUUCUCAACGUUUAGAGAGAAAAAAUAUAAAGUGAGAUGGGCAGUGUUUUUAUACUCAUUUUAUGCCCUUUUUUUCUUUUACCUUCAAAUGGGGUGUUUUUUUUUCUGUUAUAUAAGCAUCUUAGAGUCAAUUGGAGAGAUUAUAUUACAUUUUUCCUAUAACAAGUGUCAGUCAAAGCCCAUGUAUGGAGACACAUAUUCAUAUGUGUCAAUACUUAUUCAUUACAAGUAUUCUUUAGACGCUUAUCAUGAUUUUGGGCCCUUGACCUUUAAUAGGCUUGAGCUUGAAUUCGGCAUUCAUGUUCCGUACAAAAAGGAUUGAUUUUGCAAUAUUUUUUUCCGUAAGCACAUUCCAUAGAAUGUUUGUUAACAUGUCAGCUCCUUCCGUAGAAUGUUUGUUGGCCCGAAAGCACAUUCUGUAGAAUGUAUUUAUUUGCAUGUAGGCAUAUUCCAUAGAAUGUGUAUUUGCCCGUAGGCCCACUCCAUAGAAUGUAGGCUCAUUCUGUAGGAUGUAUAUUUGCCUGAAGGCUCAUUUCAUAGAAUGUCUAUUUCCUAGUAGAUGCAUCCGUAGAAUAUGUAUUUGCCCGUAGGCACAUUCCGUAGAAUAUAUAUUUGUCAUAGGCACAUUCUUUAGAUUGUGUAUUUGUCCAUAGAAUAAAUAUUUGUCCAUAGGCACAUUCCGUAGAAUGCAUAUUUUCUCACAGGCACAUUCCGUAAAAUGUCUAUUUGCUCAUAGGCACAUUCCUUAGAUUGUGUAUUUCUCCAUGGAUGCAUUCCGUAGAAUCCAUAUUUUUAGAAGGUGUAUUUGUCCCAGACGCAUUCCGUAGAAUAUAUAGUUGCCCACAUGCACAUUUCGUACAAUGUAUAUAUGCCCGUAAACAUAUUCCAUAGAAUGCUUAUUAGCCUGUAUGCUCUUACAUAGAAAUAUUUUCUAAGUAUGUAGGUCAUUCUUUGUGAGGUUUGUGAGGAAUGACCUAGGUCAUUCUUUGUAAAGAAUGGAUCUAAGUGAUUCUUUGUAAACAAUGGACCUAAGCCUUUCUUUGUUGAAUCAUGCCUUUAGUGCUUUGUCAAAGACUUGCCCUUUAAACGUUUUACUCAGAAAUAUUUUCUAAGUGCUUAAAUCAUUAUUUGUAAAGAAUAGACUUAGGUCGUUCUUUGUAAAAAGUGGAUCUAUGUCAUUCUUUGAUGAAUCAUGUCUUUGACAUUUUGUCUAAGACUCGCUCUUUGGGCGUUUUACUCAGAAAUAUUUUCCAAGUGUUUAGGUCAUUCUUUGUAAGGAAUGGACUAGGUCAUUCUUUAAAGAAGCACGGCUUUUGCGCUUCAUUGAAAACUCACCAUUUGGACAUUUUACUUAGAAAUAUUUUCUAAAUUUCUAUAUCAUUCUUUGUAAGGAUUGAACUUAAGUCGUUCUUUGUAAAACAAAAUGGACCUAAGUCAUUAUUUGUAAGUAUAAGACCUACGUUGUUCUUUGUAAAAAGUAUACUUAAGUCAUUCUUUACAAAGAAUAGACAUAGGUCAUUAUUUGAUGAAUCACGCUUUUGGCGUUUUGUCGUAUCUUACAUUUAGACAUUUACUUCGAAUUCUAAAUACUUAGAUUAUUCUUAUAGAGAAUGGGCCUAUGUUAUUUUAUGGAAAAUAUUUUUAUUGGGCCUAUAUUUUUCGUGUUUUGAACGAUUCAUAAUUUAGUCUAACAGCUUUAAUUGUGAAUAUAUGUUGAGCUUAUUAUCCAACUCUCUGUACUGUACAUAAUAUUGAAAAUUAUACAUCCAUAAUAUUUGGUAAUGUUAUUAAUAAAUUCUUUUAUGUAUCUGAACAAUUUUUUUGAUAAUUUUUAAAAAUUAAUAAUUUUACAAAUUCAAAACAAUUCUUAAUUCUAUAAAAUAAAAAAAAUUAUGUAAUUAGAUUAUUAUAUAGAUAAUCAGUUUACUUUUUGUCACAAUCAUGCAAUUUCCUACUUGUAUUCUUUUACAUAAUCGAUUCAUCCAAUUCCCUAAUUAGGUGAUAUUUCCGAUUGAACUACUCUUGUGACUUUUUUUUUUUUUAACCCUUGUAAAAAUCCUAGGGCGUGUGUCCAUUUACGAAUAAUGCUUUUUUUUUUUCAUACCAAUCAUAUGUUACAAUUAAAACUUUAUUGAUAUAUUUACAAUCUAUUCCUACCUAAUUACUUUUUACCCGUGUAAAAACCUUAGUAGGCUUGAGCCACUGGCAAAUGAGCAAUGCUACUUUGAUCAAAGUAGUACAAUAAAAUUUUGACAAAAUAUAUAGAAAGAUUAAGUCGUCCGUUGUUCUGUAUAAAAUGAUUAGUUAACAUGAAUUGCAACUGAUUAGUUAACAUUAAGUGUUUUUUUAUCUACUCUUUUUUUUUUUUUUUUUUUUGGCGAGUAGGCUAUGAGCUAUUGGCAAAUGAGCAAUGCUACUUUGACAAAACUAGUGCAAUAAAACUUUGACAAAAUAUUUAAAAAGACCAAAUAAUCCAUUGUUCUGGAUAAAAUGAUUAGUUAAUAUGAAUUGCAACUAAUUAGUUAAUAUUCAUUUCUCUUUUCAUCUGCCUCAAUUCUAUAUUUUCGUAGAAAGAUUACUCGAAUUGGUGCUCCUCAACACUGUUGAGAGCUCCAACCCAUGUCAUAUAAAUAUUGUAAGUCAAUUUCAAUUCUAUAUUUUCGUCCUCUAUAUAUAUAUAUAUAUAUAUAUAUAUAUAUAUAUAUAUAUAAGAGUAAAGAGUAGUGCCAAAAAUUAAUUCAUUUUCUAUGUGUACAGAAAGUUUAGAAGAGGUAAAUUUAUGCAAUUAAAUCGUUUACAAAGAAGCAAUCAUUUCUAAAAUGAAGAUGGCCAUCUCUCAUAAUUAUGACGCUCUAAUUAAUUGAUUUCGUUUAUAUAAUUCAUUUCUUGGUUGUUUAAAAUUAAUUUAUUAGUUAUUUAAAACAGGCUGAUUAAUAUUAGACAUGAUGGGAAAAUCAUGUAACAAUAAUUAGGCUGAUAAAUUUGGCAUAAAAAUCAACUCCAAAUCCAGCUAAUCACUUGCUUGAUAUUCAAUUUAAUUUUACCUUCCUUUUAAGACCACGCUGCCCACAUAUUAACAAUAUUUUGUCAUGCGUUAAAAUUAAUGAGCCCAAUAAAUAAAUUCACACCUAAUAAUUAAAAAAUAAAAAAUAUUUCCAGGGUAGAAACAACUGAGUUUGGAAUCGAGUGCAUUUACAGUUUCAUGCUAGGGAAACUCUUUCUAAAUCACUUCUAUUUGAUUAUAUGUACAUCUAAUCACCACGAAAUUUUGAAAUUUUCUCUUCACUACAUUUGUUUUAAACUUAUAUCAAUAAAUCACUUUGACACUAACAAAUCACCAUUUUACCCUAAAUGUAUAAAAAUACCAUUUUACUCUACAAAAUUUAAAAAAUAAAAAAUUACAAUUACAAGAAUAUUCCUAAAUUUAAUAAAACAAAUAAAUUUAAAAAUCCAAGAUGUUAACUUUUAUAAUUAUAUUUUUUAUAAUUAUAAUUUUAUUUAAUUUUUUAAUUAAAUUAAGUAUAGGGAAGUUUACAAAAAUUAACAUGAAGAGAAAAGCUCCCUAUAAUUAUUGUGAACUUCCCUAUAAUUAAAAUUAAGAAACUUCCCUAUACUUAAUUUUAUUGCAAACAUUAAAUAAAAUUGUAUUUACACAAAAUUAACAUGAUAAUUUCUAAAUGAAAUUAUAAUUAUAAAAAACUAACAUCAUGGAUUUUGAGAUUUAUUUGUUUUAUUAAAUUCAUCGGUAUUCUUAUAAUUAUAAUAUUUUUAUUUUUUAAAAUUACAAAAAUUAUUUUUUAAAAAUUUUAUAAAAUAAAAUAGUAUUUUAAUUUAUUAAAAAUAAAAUAAUUAUUUUUUAAUAUUAAAGUAAUUAAUUAAUAUAAAUUUAAAAAUAAAAGUAGUAUAAAAAAUAUAUUAAAAUUUUAUGAUAAUUAAAUAUAAAUAUGAUAAAAUAGAAGUGUAGCAGACGUAAUUUUCAUUUACGCCAUUACAUAGAUUCUGUCAGUCUGCGCCAGAGCCCUGAGCAGAACAUGUCACUCAUGACGAAAUCCGUUACAUGAAGGGCAAUUUCGUAACUCGACAAAAAUUUCCCCACGUUCACAAGUCACGACACACCGUACCCGGUAGUCUCCAAGACUCGAACCGGAAGCCAACCCAAACUCGGACAGGGAAAAAUAAAAAAAUUAAAAAAAAUUAAAAAGAAGUGCCCAUUUAAAAACAACUCUGUACCUCUCUUUCUCUCUCUCGCUCUCGCUCUCGCUCUCGCUCUCUUAUCUCACAGAGAAACAGAACAGAGAAAGACUUCAGUUGCAGAGUCCGAUUCUUACAAUUACAGUUCGUACAGUUAAACUCAAGACUCUUCCAUCCCCUUAAAAAUCCUCCCGGAAAAUCCCUAAUUCCCUCCAAGUCCUCUCCUCCAUGGACACACUAUUUGAGCUACCUACUAUUCUCACCGGCCGUUGAUUCUCCCCGUGCCUCACCCGCAUUAUUUUUUCGCCUCAGGUUAUUUCUCCCCUUAAAAAUCCUCCCGGAAAAUCCCUAAUUCCCUCCAAGUCCUCUCCUCCAUGGACACACUAUCUGAGCUACCUACUAUUCUCACCGGCCGUUGAUUCUCCCCGUGCCUCACCCGCAUUAUUUUUUCGCCUCAGGUU